rnacentral:rRNA from 1 species
UGAGGAAUAUUGCACAAUGGGCGAAAGCCUGAUGCAGCAACGCCGCGUGGAGGACGAAGGCCCUCGGGUCGUAAACUCCUUUUCUGGGGGACGAGAAAGGACGGUACCUCAGGAAUAAGUCUCGGCUAACUACGUGCCAGCAGCCGCGGUAAUACGUAGGAGGCAAACGUUAUCCGGAAUUACUGGGCGUAAAGCGCACGCAGGCGGCUUCGUAAGUCCGACGUGAAAGCUCCUGGCUUAACUGGGAGAGGCCGUUGGAUACUGCGAAGCUCGAGGUUAGGAGAGGAAAGUGGAAUUCCCGGUGUAGUGGUGGAAUGCGUAGAUAUCGGGAGGAACCCCAGUGGCGAAAGCGACUUUCUAGCCUACACCUGACGCUGAGGUGCGAAAGCGUGGGGAGCGAACAGG